UUCGGGAACGCUCAGACAGGUGCUGCAUGGCUGUCGUCAGCUCGUGUUGUGAGAUGUUGGGUUAAGUCCCGCAACGAGCGCAACCCUUAUCCUUAUUUGCCAGCGUUUAAUGGGGGGAACUUCGGGGAAACGGCGGGGGAAAAACGGGAGGAGGGGGGGGACAACGUCAAGUCUUCGUGGCCUUUACAAGGAGGGUUACCCACGUGCUCCAAGGGGCGAUAAAGAGGGUGGCAACCCUGCGAGGGAAAGCUAAUCCCUAAAAGCCUGUCGUAUUCCGGAUUGGAGUCUGCCACUCCACUCCAUGAAGUCGGAAUCUCUAGUAAUCGGGGAUCAAAAUGCCGCGGUGAAUACUUUCCCGGGUUUUGUACACCCAGAA
rnacentral:rRNA from 1 species